rnacentral:rRNA from 1 species
UACGGAGGGUGCAAGCGUUAUCCGGAUUCACUGGGUUUAAAGGGAGCGUAGGAGGGCAGGUAAGUCAGUGGUGAAAUCUCCGGGCUUAACCCGGAAACUGCCAUUGAUACUAUCAGUCUUGAAUACCGUGGAGGUAAGCGGAAUAUGUCAUGUAGCGGUGAAAUGCUUAGAUAUGACAUAGAACACCAAUUGCGAAGGCAGCUUACUACCCGAAUAUUGACACUGAGGCACGAAAGCGUGGGGAUCAAACAGG